rnacentral:rRNA from 1 species
GCUUAGAAGCAGCCAUCAUUUAAAGAAAGCGUAAUAGCUCACUGGUCGAGUCGGCCUGCGCGGAAGAUGUAACGGGGCUAAACCAUGCACCGAAGCUGCGGCAGCGACACUGUGUGUUGUUGGGUAGGGGAGCGUUCUGUAAGCCUGUGAAGGUGGCCUGUGAGGGUUGCUGGAGGUAUCAGAAGUGCGAAUGCUGACAUAAGUAACGAUAAAGCGGGUGAAAAGCCCGCUCGCCGGAAGACCAAGGGUUCCUGUCCAACGUUAAUCGGGGCAGGGUGAGUCGACCCCUAAGGCGAGGCCGAAAGGCGUAGUCGAUGGGAAACGGGUUAAUAUUCCCGUACUUGGUGUUACUGCGAAGGGGGGACGGAGAAGGCUAUGUUGGCCGGGCGACGGUUGUCCCGGUUUAAGCGUGUAGGUGUGUGUUCCAGGUAAAUCCGGUUCACUUUAACACUGAGGCGUGACGACGAGGCACUACGGUGCUGAAGCAACAAAUGCCCUGCUUCCAGGAAAAGCCUCUAAGCAUCAGGUAACAUCAAAUCGUACCCCAAACCGACACAGGUGGUCAGGUAGAGAAUACCAAGGCGCUUGAGAGAACUC